GUACCGUGAGGGAAAGAUGAAAAGAACUUUGAAAAGAGAGUUAAACAGUACGUGAAAUUGUUGAAAGGGAAACGAUUGAAGUCAGUCAUACCAACGGGAAAUCAACCUUUUGAGCUUGGUCUCGUGGGUUUUGAAGAGUUUCAAAGCCUUCGGAUUCGCGGGAUUGGGAUCUCUUGGUGUACUUUUUCGUACGGUUAGUCAACAUCGGUUUUGAAUGUCAUAAAAUGACUGGAGGAAUGUAGCUUCGAUCUCGUAUUGAAGUGUUAUAGCCUUUGGUAGAUGUGAUGUUUGAGACCGAGGAUUGCAACGGAUACCCUUCAGGGCUAUUCGUCUGAUCUCUGAUACGUUGCCUUGAUGUUGAAAGCUUGCUUAUGAUGUUAGGGUAUUACGGUCAAAAGGUUAGAACGGAUUAAAUUCGUUAAGG
rnacentral:rRNA from 1 species